GACCGCGUCGCUCAGUUGGCAGAGCAUUGGUCUAGUAUUCCAAAGGUCGUACGUUCGAUUCACACCGUGGACA
rnacentral:tRNA from 1 species